rnacentral:lncRNA from 1 species
UUCUUGAGGUCCGUCUAGUCGCGGAUGCUAUUGGGCAAAAGGAAUUUGAGCCAAGCUUGAAUGAACUCCCCUACACAGAUGGGGAUGUACUGGAUGAUGAAGUAAUCAUCAUCUGCGUCGCUGGCUCGACAGGCGAGCCAGAAGUUUUCCAACCAUAGGGUGCACCUCCUCGUGUUCCUCAUCGGACCAGUCGUGGCCCGCGCCACCCACGCUUGCCGCCAUUUGGUGGACAUCGGCGUCGUGCCGAGGCAGGCACCGCGCAUGGAUGACACUACGUGCAUCAUAGUUCAGUCCAAGCUACUAACACAUGUGCUGGCAAUGUGGAGCUGGUGCCGAACCGGGCUACGGC